CAGCUGUUUAUGGAGUAGAUACGGUGUACAGAGAAAAUACAACAUCCUUCUUCGGCAGGCUUGUGGGGUUCAUGUCUCAGCCCGCCGCCGUGGCUGACAUUAGAAGGGAACGGCUGAAGGGAGAAGAGGAGCCAGGGCUUGCUGACACCUGUGGAGAAAGCGGCAGAAAGCAGGGGAUCUCCCACACGCUAGAAACAGAGCAAGCAGAGCUGGAGAGCACUUCAACGGCUUGUCUUGAAAGUGCAUCUCUCUUGUGUGAAAGAAAUGAGUGAGGACCAUGAACAUCAGGCAAAUAUCUGAGCUAGUAAUUUUGGAGGGAUAUUACAGUACUACCUGCGGUUGUCAGCCAGGUCUGGAAGUGACAGAAGAACACCUACACAAUGCUUCUGCAAUGCUGCUAGAUAAAGACUGACUCCUGUGCAGCUCUCUCGGGUGUUUCUGUACAACCAAGUCCACAGCUGACAUUGGUGAAACCAGUCUGAGUAUCCCAUUUGCGGUGCUGCUCAUAUUCAUGAGCUAUAACGAGUCUCUGUCAAGUUCUUGUUCUAUGAACAAAAUUUAAAUUUUAAGUGAGAAGAGCAGUAUACAGAAAGAUGAGUGUAGAAGGAAAAAUGGGACAAUUUUGGUCAGCUUCCUGAGUGGAAACUCAGCAAAGCAGUAGCUUUGCUUUUCUUGUUAACGUUGUUGAAAGGAUAGGAAGCUUCCUGAAGAAGGGUAUUAAGAUAGCUUUGUAGAGCUCUGCAAGAACCUUCAUUCAAGGAUGAAUGGUAUGGAAGUGAAAAGCACAGAGGUGGUUUUUUAAGAAUGAGUAAAUGGGCAGAUGGAUCCUAGUUACUUGGAAAUAAAUCUUGAUAAUUAGGUUGGAAAGAGCUUGUGAAGUGAAUACCAGCAGCCUAUGAUGAAUGAGUUAGAGAAAAGACUACCUAUAAGAUUUUCAAAAAGAAAGGCAACUUGAAAAACUGCUGAACUUGGGAAAUAAUAGUUGCAGCAUGGCUGUUUCUGCUGGUGUUUGCUGGUAGUAUAACCAGCACAAAAUUAAUCUCUCUGUACCACAACAUCCUGUUCUCUGAUGCUGACAAGUGCAAUUUUUGUUUUUCCUUUGCUUUCUACUGCCCUUUUUAAAAGAAAGUGGGCAAGAAAUCUGAAGUAGUUGUCUGAUUUAAUUAUUCUAUGAUUCAUAAGAAAUCAGCAGCAAAUCCGUUUCAGAUUCCAAAAGCCUCCGAAGUUGCCCUCUUUCCUCUUUAGCAUCCUAACCAUAUUGAGCUUUUGAGGAUCUGGCUUCCAAUCUUCAAAGGAAAGGUCAAGAUAUGUAAGACAGAAACACAGCACCAAAACACCCAUUCUGCUCCACAUCGAGGUCCCGCUCUGACAGAUGGAAUUGUCUUUGACAAGGAAUCCUUUGGUUUAUACAGUGUUAAUGACGGUUUCUAAUAAAAUAUUCUCAUUCAUCCAUUGAAAAUAUAUUCUGAGUAUUAUAAUUAGGGCAAACAAGAUAAGACACUCAUUUAGAUAACUUUUUUCCAGCUUCUUCUAGGUGAAACUCCAUAUACUUUUUUAGGUCUACCAGGUAAAAAUUAAUUUGUUCAGUAAAUAUAUCAAAAUACUGAUAUUUUAUAGCUAUCUUUAAAUUCACUCAGGCACUAAUUAUGUUUCAAUGCCUAUGGAAACAUAAAGACAGUGGGAAAAGAGACACAAAAAGGGAAUUGACUUGUCAGUGCAUGGUAGUGGUGGAGCUGAAAAAGGAUCCAGGUUUCACUGCUUGUCUAAUGUUCAUAUAAUCUGAAUUCAUUGCUUCCAGAUGGAACUCGGAGUGCUAACAGUUUAUCCCUAAUCUGAGAGAUUAAUUUAUAGUUUAAACUUCACAUGUAUACCAGGCUCUUCUGAAACAUAGAUCUGAAAAAAGUGCAUAUAUAAAAAAUUAAGUUAAUUGCAGAAAUGAUGAUAGUACUCACUGAAGCUUAUGUACAGUGUUGAUGUCCUUCAUUUGCCUAGAAAGUCAAUUUUGGCUCUUGGAGCCAAGUAUGUGUUUCAAUUGACUUUUGGUGAAACCUGAGAGCAGUUUUGUGUCUUGAAUAUAGAAUGGCUCUACAGCUAAGAUAAAUUGUUGUUAAAUUGCAGGGGCAUCCUUUAAGAAGCAGAAAAACUUGACGUUUCCUGUAGCAUAGGAAAUACUGUGCAACUAUCAGUACCACUUGAUUUUUGACUUGCUCCUAUGACCUAUUUAAGAAGACAUAGUGUCUACAUGAAUUUGCCAGGCUUAUCUGUUUUUCUAUGUUUGUGUUCCAGUAAAGCUAGAACAUGUUUAAAUCAGGCAUUUGAGGUCACAGAUGUAUGUUUCAGAAUCACUCGUCCAAAAUGUCCUUGGAACUUCAUUCUACAGCAUCAGUCGCUAGUGGAAGAUUUAGAGGGAUUCUAGUAAGCAUGUACAAAAGCCUAGGUGCAAAGUAAUAAACGAAAAUAAAAACAACCCACUUCCCCAAACCAGUUAUCCAUUAACUAUGCAAUUGUAUUUUUGUUAAAACGUUCUUUACAAUUAUAGCAUAUUAGGAAUUCAAUUAUCAUUUAAUACUGUACCUGUACCAAUUUAAUUAGAUAUCUCUUAGCAUUAUUAAGGUCAGAAUUUUUAAUAGUGGAUGUCUGUAGGCUAUCUUGCUAAUAUUCUUUGGAUUAAUCUACAUUUAAUAGUACACGUCACUGAGAUGUAAAGCUAUUCAUUUGUUUGACCCCUGACAACCAAAGUAAAAAAAAAAAAAUCUCUGACUGUAAUAGAUAUGCUUAUUUGAGUAAUAAUUGCAUGAACUGUAUAUUUUAUUGGAAGCCUUUCCUAUCUGUAUAUUUUUCAAGUAUAUGUGCUUCUAUUUUACACAGCACUUUGGGGGUAUUUUUGGUAUGGCAUGAGACAUGAAUAUAAC